AAGGAGUCUAACAUGUGUGCGAGUGUUCGGGGUCUAUCCCCCAGCGCGAAAUUAACGUAAAGGUGAAUUUAUUCACUUAGGUAGGAUCCUUAGGUGCACUAUCGACCGACCAUGAUCCUCCGGGAGAAAGGUUUGAGUGUGAGCAUACAUGUUGGGACCCGAAAGAUGGUGAACUAUGCUUGAGUAGGGCGAAGCCAGGGGAAACUCUGGUGGAGGUCCGCAGCGAUUCUAACGUGCAAAUUGAUCGUCGAACUUGGGUAUAGGGGCGAAAGACUAAUCGAACCAUCUAGUAGCUGGUUCCUCC
rnacentral:sRNA from 1 species